UGUCGUUUCGUUUUCACUUCACAUUAGAGAUAUCACUGUAAUAACCCAAGUAACAAUACAGUACAUAUAGUAUAUUGUUAUAAGAUGGCGGCUAACGGGUAUAUGGUUUUUGCUACCCUAGUACUGGUCAUUUCUCUUGUUCAGGGACUGACUACUGUCGACAAGCGUCAGGAUUGUAGUAACAUGUGCGGCCCCGAUACAUGUUGUGUAAGAAUCUGGUUGCCAGGACGACGACGCUUUCUGGUGAAUGGUUACUGCCAGCAGUUGAGGAAAGAGGGAGACACGUGCUAUCCAGGCAGAACUCAACACCAAUGCCCAUGCGCAAGCGAUUUCAAAUGUGAAGUUGCUGAUGGAAAAAUCAGCGGACGUUGCGCCAGAAAGUGAAACAUUUCAGUGUCGGUUUAAACUGCCUGGCAUAUGGGAAAAUAAAAACAAUACCCUAUGAA